AUUGAACGCUGGCGGCAGGCUUAACACAUGCAAGUCGAGCGGAGAUGAGGUGCUUGCACCUUAUCUUAGCGGCGGACGGGAGAGUAAUGCUUAGGAAUCUGCCUAUUAGUGGGGGACAACAUUCCGAAAGGAAUGCUAAUACCGCAUACGUCCUACGGGAGAAAGCAGGGGAUCUUCGGACCUUGCGCUAAUAGAUGAGCCUAAGUCGGAUUAGCUAGUUGGUGGGGUAAAGGCCUACCAAGGCGACGAUCUGUAGCGGGUCUGAGAGGAUGAUCCGCCACACUGGGACUGAGACACGGCCCAGACUCCUCCGGGAGGCAGCAGUUGGGAAUAUUGGACAAUGGGGGGAACCCUGAUCCAGCCAUGCCGCGUGUGUGAAGAAGGCCUUAUGGUUGUAAAGCACUUUAAGCGAGGAGGAGGCUACUGAGACUAAUACUCUUGGAUAGUGGACGUUACUCGCAGAAUAAGCACCGGCUAACUCUGUGCCAGCAGCCGCGGUAACAC
rnacentral:rRNA from 1 species